CAAAAACAUGUCUUUUUGAGUUAUUUUUAAAGUCUAACCUGCCCAAUGAAUAAUUUUUAAUGGCCGCAGUAAUUUGACUGUGCAAAGGUAGCAUAAUAAUUAGUCUUUUAAUUGAAGGCUUGUAUGAAUGGUUGGACGAAGUAUAAUCUGUUUCAUUUAAAUUUAUUAUAGAAUUUUAUAUUUUAGUAAAAAAGCUAAAAUUUUUUUAAAAGACGAGAAGACCCUAUAAAUCUUUAUAAUUUAUAUAUAUUUUUCUUUUUUGGAUUUGUUUUAUUUUAAUAAAUUGAAUUAUUUUAUUGGGGUGAUAUUAAAAUUUGAAUAACUUUUAAUUUUUUUUUACAUUAAUUUAUGAUUUAUUGAUCCAUUAAUAAUGAUUAUAAGAAUAAGUUACUUUAGGGAUAACAGCGUAAUUUUUUUGGAGAGUUCUUAUUGAUAAAAAAGUUUGCGACCUCGAUGUUGGAUUAAGAUAUAAUUUUAGGUGUAGUUGCUUAAAUAAUAAGUCUGUUCGACUUUUAAAUUCUUACAUGAUCUGAGUUCAAACCGGA
rnacentral:rRNA from 1 species